rnacentral:tRNA from 1 species
CGCCGGAUGGCCGAUAAUAGGCGUAAGUCUUUUAAACUUAUUAUAGAUUUUUCUUCGGGUGA